AUUGAACGCUGGCGGUAGGCCUAACACAUGCAAGUCGAACGCGAAAGUCCUUCGGGAUGAGUAGAGUGGCGGACGGGUGAGUAACGCGUAGGAAUCUAUCCUGUAGUGGGGGAUAACGUUUCGAAAGGAACGCUAAUACCGCAUACGCCCCAAGGGGGAAAGCGGGGGAUCUUCGGACCUCGUGCUAUAGGAGGAGCCUGCGUCGGAUUAGCUAGUUGGUGAGGUAAAGGCUCACCAAGGCGACGAUCCGUAGCUGGUCUGAGAGGAUGAUCAGCCACACCGGAACUGAGACACGGUCCGGACUCCUACGGGAGGCAGCAGUGGGGAAUAUUGCGCAAUGGGCGAAAGCCUGACGCAGCCAUACCGCGUGUGUGAAGAAGGCCUUCGGGUUGUAAAGCACUUUCAGUGGGGAGGAAAAGCUGGUGGCUAAUAUCCAUCGGCCGUGACGCUACCCACAGAAGAAGCACCGGCUAAUUCCGUGCCAGCAGCCGCCGCGGUAA
rnacentral:rRNA from 1 species